rnacentral:misc_RNA from 1 species
UUGAAUAAAUCUGGUGGGUUGUAGCUGGCUCCUCGGAGCAUGUGCACGCUCUCCACUUUUAUCCAUCCACCUGUGCACCAUGUGUAGUCUUGAGGGAAAAGAUUUGUGGUCCUGUUGUGGGCUAUGAAGGCGUCCUCUCAAGUCUAUGUUUUUCAUAUACCACAUAGUAUGUUGUAGAAUGUAUAUCAUGGGCCUACGUGCCUAUAAAACACUAUA